UACGUAGGGGGCCAGCGUUGUCCGGAAUCAUUGGGCGUAAAGCGCGCGUAGGCGGUCAGGUAAGUCCGGUGUGAAAGUCAAAGGCUCAACCUUUGAAUGCCGCUGGAUACUGCCUGACUUGAGUCCGGAAGGGGCGAGUGGAAUUCCUGGUGUAGCGGUGAAAUGCGCAGAUAUCAGGAGGAACACCAAUGGCGAAGGCAGCUCGCUGGGACGUUACUGACGCUGAGACGCGAAAGCGUGGGGAGCAAACAGG
rnacentral:rRNA from 1 species